GACGAACGCUGGCGGCGUGCUUAACACAUGCAAGUCGAACGGAAAGGCCCUGCUUUUGUGGGGUUCUCGAGUGGCGAACGGGUGAGUAACACGUGAGUAACCUGCCCUUGACUUUGGGAUAACUUCAGGAAACUGGGGCUAAUACCGGAUAGGAGCUCCUGCUGCAUGGUGGGGGUUGGAAAGUUUCGGCGGUUGGGGAUGGACUCGCGGCUUAUCAGCUUGUUGGUGGGGUAGUGGCUUACCAAGGCUUUGACGGGUAGCCGGCCUGAGAGGGUGACCGGCCACAUUGGGACUGAGAUACGGCCCAGACUCCUACGGGAGGCAGCAGUGGGGAAUAUUGCAAAAUGGGCGGAAGCCUGAUGAAGCAACGCCGCGUGCGGGAUGAAGGCCUUCGGGUUGUAAACCGCUUUCGCCUGUGACGAAGCGUGAGUGACGGUAAUGGGUAAAGAAGCACCGGCUAACUACGUG
rnacentral:rRNA from 1 species